rnacentral:rRNA from 1 species
GAUGAACGCUAGCUACAGGCUUAACACAUGCAAGUCGAGGGGCAUCAGGAAGAAAGCUUGCUUUCUUUGCUGGCGACCGGCACACGGGUGAGUAACACGUAUCCAACCUGCCCUUUACUCGGGGAUAGCCUUUCGAAAGAAAGAUUAAUACCCGAUAGCAUAAUGAUUCCGCAUGGUUUCAUUAUUAAAGGAUUCCGGUAAAGGAUGGGGAUGCGUUCCAUUAGGUUGUUGGUGGGGUAACGGCCCACCAAACCGACGAUGGAUAGGGGUUCUGAGAGGAAGGUCCCCCACAUUGGUACUGAGACACGGACCAA